rnacentral:rRNA from 1 species
AUAAGCACUUGUACUGUGAACUGCGAAUGGCUCAUUAAAUCAGUUAUCGUUUAUUUGAUAGUACCUUACUACAUGGAUACCUGUGGUAAUUCUAGAGCUAAUACAUGCUAAAAACCCCGACUUCAGGAAGGGGUGUAUUUAUUAGAUAAAAAACCAACGCCCUUCGGGGCUCCUUGGUGAAUCAUAAUAACUUAACGAAUCGCAUGGCCUUGCGCCGGCGAUGGUUCAUUCAAAUUUCUGCCCUAUCAACUUUCGAUGGUAGGAUAGUGGCCUACCAUGGUGGCAACGGGUAACGGGGAAUUAGGGUUCGAUUCCGGAGAGGGAGCCUGAGAAACGGCUACCACAUCCAAGGAAGGCAGCAGGCGCGCAAAUUACCCAAUCCCGAUACGGGGAGGUAGUGACAAUAAAUACUGAUACGGGGCUCUUUUGGGUCUCGUAAUUGGAAUGAGAACAAUUUAAAUCCCUUAACGAGGAACAAUUGGAGGGCAAGUCUGGUGCCAGCAGCCGCGGUAAUUCCAGCUCCAAUAGCGUAUAUUAAAGUUGUUGCAGUUAAAAAGCUCGUAGUUGAACCUUGGGUCUGGCUGGUCGGUCCGCCUCACCGCGAGUACUGAUCCGGCUGGACCUUUCCUUCUGGGGAACCUCAUGGCCUUCACUGGCUGUGGGGGGAACCAGGACUUUUACUGUGAAAAAAUUAAAGUGUUCAAAGCAGGCCUUUGCUCGAAUACUUUAGCAUGGAAUAAUAAAAUAAGGAAGUGGCGGUUCAAUUUUGGUUGGUUUCUAA